GGGUUGUGAGGUUAAGCGACUAAGCGUACACGGUGGAUGCCCUGGCAGUCAGAGGCGAUGAAGGACGUGCUAAUCUGCGAUAAGCGUCGGUAAGGUGAUAUGAACCGUUAUAACCGGCGAUUUCCGAAUGGGGAAACCCAGUGUGAUUCGUCACACUAUCAUUACGUGAAUACAUAGCGUAAUGAAGCGAACCGGGGGAACUGAAACAUCUAAGUACCCCGAGGAAAAGAAAUCAACCGAGAUUCCCCCAGUAGCGGCGAGCGAACGGGGAGCAGCCCAGAG
rnacentral:rRNA from 1 species